AUUGAACGCUGGCGGCAGGCCUAACACAUGCAAGUCGAACGAGCGGCGGACGGGUGAGUAAUGUAUGGGAACCUGCCCGAUGGAGGGGAAUAACUCCUGGAAACGGUGGCUAAUACCGCAUACCAUCGGAUGAGCCCAUAUGGGAUUAGCUAGUAGUUGGGGUAAAGGUUCACCUAGGCGACGAUCCCUAGCUGGUAUGAGGGGAUGACCAGCCACACUGUAACUGAGCCACGGCCCAGACUCCUACGGGAGGCAGCAGUGGGGAAUAUUGCACAAUGGGCGCAAUCCUGAUGCAGCCAUGCCGCGUGUAUGAAGAAGGCCUUAGGGUUGUAAAGUACUUUCAGCGGGGAGGCGUUACCCGCAGAAGAAGCACCGGCUAACUCCGUGCCAGCCGCCGCGGUAAUUC
rnacentral:rRNA from 1 species